rnacentral:rRNA from 1 species
UACGGAGGGGGCAAGCGUUGUUCGGAUUUAUUGGGCGUAAAGCGCGUGUAGGCGGUACGGUAAGUCGGAUGUUAAAGACCCACGGCUCACCCGGGGGAGUGCGUUCGAUACUGCCGUGCUAGAGUGCAGGAGAGGAAAGUGGAAUUCCUGGUGUAGCGGUGAAAUGCGUAGAUAUCAGGAGGAACACCGGUGGCGAAGGCGGCUUUCUGGCCUGUAACUGACGCUGAGACGCGAAAGCAUGGGGAGCGAACGGGAUUAGAAACCCCGGUAGUCC